GCGGGAUCAAGCAAUUCUACCCGCGAAUGUUUGUUCCUAAAUGUCUCAGGUAAAAGUCUUCGCUAGAGCUGUGGCUCUCAAGGUUUUGUGACCGGACUGAUUGUUGCGACCCACGUUUUAAACCGUGAAGUGGUCUUACCAUGUUUUGCCCUACGGUAGUGCAUUGUAUUUGCCUACUUCAACCAGCAUGUAGUUGCGAAUGGAGCCCAGCGCCAGUCGGUGUGUCCUUGGCAGAAAAGAAUCCAACAGAAGUAGCGGAGCAUCUGGACAGUUCUCCGAAACACCUUGAGUUUCCCUCGCUUCCAACCAAACCCGCUCGAAUCCUGUGUUUUCAAGACAGUUCUUCGGUUUUUCUUCCCCUGCGGAAACCAGCCCUGUUUCCUAGGUCAUAGUCUUCAGCCAGCAGGAGCACAAGUUCAACUGUUUGGUCGCCUGGAUUCGUUGCUUUCAAAUGUAGUAGGGAAGAAACCAUCCAAGAAACCAACGCCAUCACUGUCGGAGGAGCAGGCUGUCUUGCUGGGGUUGUAGUUUCAGCUUUGGGGCGGAGGUGGGUGGAGCGAGAGAGCUGGGAGAUAGCCGGGAGCCACACUCGGUUGGUCGCGGACAAGUCCGAGGGAAUUUAGACUUAAAUUUGUCAAAGUUAAUCAACAAAAUAAAACACAGAAA